GCGGAGGAAAAGAAACCAACAGGGAUUGCCCUAGUAACGGCGAGUGAAGCGGCAACAGCUCAAAUUUGAAAUCUGGCGCUUCCGGCGUCCGAGUUGUAAUUUGUAGAGGAUGCUUCUGGGCAGCCACCGGUCUAAGUUCCUUGGAACAGGACGUCAUAGAGGGUGAGAAUCCCGUAUGUGACCGGAGAGGCGCCCUAUACGUAGCUCCUUCGACGAGUCGAGUUGUUUGGGAAUGCAGCUCUAAAUGGGAGGUAAAUUUCUUCUAAAGCUAAAUAUUGGCCAGAGACCGAUAGCGCACAAGUAGAGUGAUCGAAAGAUGAAAAGCACUUUGGAAAGAGAGUUAAAAAGCACGUGAAAUUGUUGAAAGGGAAGGGAUUGCAACCAGACUUGCUCGCGGUGUUCCGCCGGUCUUCUGACCGGUCUACUCGCCGCGUUGCAGGCCAGCAUCGUCUGGGGCCGCCGGAUAAGACUUUGGGAAAGUAGCUCCCUCGGGAGUGUUAUAGCCCUCGUGAUGCGGCGCGUCCCGGGCGAGGUCCGCGCUCGGCA
rnacentral:sRNA from 1 species